AACGAACGCUGGCGGCAGGCCUAACACAUGCAAGUCGAGCGAGGACUUCGGUUCUAGCGGCGGACGGGUGAGUAACGCGUGGGAAUGUGCCCUUCUCUACGGAAUAGCCCUGGGAAACUGGUAGUAAUACCGUAUACGCCCUUCUGGGGAAAGAUUUAUCGCGGAAGGAUCAGCCCGCGUUGGAUUAGGUAGUUGGUGGGGUAAUGGCCUACCAAGCCGACGAUCCAUAGCUGGUUUGAGAGGAUGAUCAGCCACACUGGGACUGAGACACGGCCCAGACUCCUACGGGAGGCAGCAGUGGGGAAUCUUGGGCAAUGGGGGCAAGCCUGAUGUAGCCAUGCCGCGUGAAUGAUGAAGGCCUUAGGGUUGUAAAGCUCUUUCAGCUGGGAAGAUAAUGACGGUACCAGCAGAAGAAGCCCCGGCUAACUCCGUG
rnacentral:rRNA from 1 species